CCAGAGAACUUAGCAGAGAUGCUUUGGUGCCUUCGGGAACUCUGAGACAGGUGCUGCAUGGCUGUCGUCAGCUCGUGUUGUGAAAUGUUGGGUUAAGUCCCGCAACGAGCGCAACCCUUAUCCUUUGUUGCCAGCGGCUCGGCCGGGAACUCAAAGGAGACUGCCGGUGAUAAACCGGAGGAAGGUGGGGAUGACGUCAAGUCAUCAUGGCCCUUACGGCCAGGGCUACACACGUGCUACAAUGGCGCAUACAAAGAGAAGCGACCUCGCGAGAGCAAGCGGACCUCAUAAAGUGCGUCGUAGUCCGGAUUGGAGUCUGCAACUCGACUCCAUGAAGUCGGAAUCGCUAGUAAUCGUAGAUCAGAAUGCUACGGUGAAUACGUUCCCGGGCCUUGUACACACCGCCCGUCGCACCAUGGGAGUGGGUUGCAAAAGAAGUAGGUAGCUUAACCUUCGGGAGGGCGCUUACCACUUUGUGAUUCAUGACUGGGGUGAAGUCGUAACAAGGUAGGCGUAGCGAG
rnacentral:rRNA from 1 species